GGCUGCUGUGGCUGACUGAGGAAGGGGCCGCUGGAUCAUCUGAAUGCAGAGACUCUGCUGAGAGAAGGCGAGCAAAGAGGAGGCCCCGGCAGCGAGAGAGAGACUCUGCCGCUCUGGGAGAUGGAUGUCAUGUAACCAGCACCUUGCGUUGGAGGUCAAGAGAUAUGCCUGCCAACCUCUGCCCUUCAUCAACCAGCUGCAGUGCCUUAGGAACAUCAUGGGAGCCCCGAGUCUUAUCUUUGUGUCCACAACACUACAGGUCAGACUGAAUCCUCCAUAUGCCUGGCACCAGACUAGGACUGCUGGGACAUCCAGCCCCAGUGAACUGAACAAACAACUGCUGGAUUCCUGGGUAUCAGCUACUGUACACAGAAGAGACACAUUAGUCCUGUACCUCACAAGACACGGUCACAGUCCAACACUGAGGGAAGACAGGGCAGGGACCCAAAGGAAGAAACCAUGGAAGAUGCUGCUGGGUGGCUUGCUCUCUGGAUUCUCAGCUGUGUUACCAACGAGCAGGCUUUACAUGGGAUCCUCCCACAGUAAAUAAUGAAGAUGCUGUUUCCUGGGUCUCCUCAAAGCCUUCAGAUUCAGAAUCUCUGACAGCAGACCCUCAUGGCUUCCACUUUCCCAAAUGGUCCUCACAUGUCUUAAAGAACCACUCAAUAAUUCAGAUGCCAUUAUAUAGAUGCAGUUUUCAGAAAAUGCAUUGCCCUUCUCUAACUAUCCUGGACUUCAUUGUUCUGCACUUCAAAAUCAAAAUCUCUUUUAUAAAACUACCUCUGCAGGAGCCUUUGACCAUACUGAACUAUCAAAAGAGCACAUGGAUGAAGGGCAAGCAGCCACCUGACCGGAAAAUCUGCCCUUCAUUUUAGACCUGACUCACCAACCUUUUAAGGAAACCCUGUAAUGCUGUUGAGUGUGUGUAAUGACCGGAUGGGGAUUCAGGCAGGAAGCUUGUCAUACCUUGAUGAACAAUGAAAGAAAGCACUCUGCGGGUCACAGACAGGAAGAUGAAGAUAGCCCAAUGUUUGGGACAAUGCAAACCUGUUCAUGCCCCAGUGCACAUGAAGCUCAUAGGAAGAGGAGAUUCUUGCUUCCCAUCCUUUGUAAGUACCAGCCAUAAGGAUGCUCCACAAGGGCAGAUCAUCAUCAAACACCAAGUGGGCUAAUCACCCUCCCUCCCAUCUUUCCAUGUUUUUUUCCAUUUAAUCAAGGUGGCUUGUAUUGUAUGGGUUGGAACACCGGGUAAGUAACCAGUGGUCAAAAGAAAAUGACUUCCAGUCUCCUAGCAACCACAAACCAUCAAUAGCUCUUCAGAGAAGUGUACCUCGCCCCUGCCCUGUCCAUGGUCCUGCAUUUAUGAGGAGAAACAAGACACCAUUCUUUAGUUGAAGGAAACCACAGUGUGAAACAGAAAGACGUAUGAUGUGAUGUGCAGCCAUAUGGUUGGUUAAAAAGAGUGUCAAGCCAGUAUCUUGAAACUUUAUUCCAUGAGGAUCCUCCUGCCACGACAGAUGAAUAGUCCUGAGAAGCAGCAUAAGCAGGUCUAUGUCCACACGGUGUCUGCUGCCACAGCUCCAGCUGAGACAGCGUCAUCUCCUGAGACCCACGGAAAACAAAGCUGCCUUCUUCCAGACACCUCAUCUGGCUGAAGACUCCCGAGAUGAAAUCCAGAGACACGUGCUAAACCUCACAGAAGAAAGACUUGGGACCUUCCAGCUACAGAUGAACUCUCUUGCCAAAGCCAAAUGACUGCUGAACUGGGGGAAAGUUACAAGAUAGUGAGAAAAACAUAGAGUCUAUCUAGAUUAAUUAAUUGCUGUUCAAAACAGAUGUUAUUACCCUCAAACAAUUACCCCGGAACAAUUGAUUCUAUAAUCUCUUGCCUUCCCAGCCCUUACCCUUAACCCUCCUUACCACUCUGGCUUAGUUGUGCUACUCCUCUAGCCUGUAUGUUUUCUUCUGAUACUUCCACUCUACCCCAAAUUUUCACCACAAAUGACACAGUCACUCCAAUGACCCUUCCCU
rnacentral:lncRNA from 1 species